CUCCCGUCGGGCAGCUCUAUAUAAGCGGGAGGCGCGGGCCUAUAGGCCCCUUUUUCUCGGCUAGCUGCAGAGCAGCGCGAAAAUAUAUAAAGAGAGUGUGGCAUGAAAGGAGGCUUGAUCCUAAAAAUGAGACACAGGGGGGGCAAAUGUGAAUACUGCAAACGCAGGAGGUUUUCUCCUAGAGCUGAGAAGAAUCAAAAGAUCCCAUGGUCCAAGAAGUCUGCAUCCUAGAUGUGAGUUGCUCUUGAGGAGGACAGCACUAAUUUCCUUUGAAAUGGUAUAACAUAAAUGCUGUUGAAGAGCCACAAUCAGAGGUGUCAAACCAGACGUGCUUGAGGAGCAGUAUGAUGUACCUUCCUGGGCUACGGAAGUAUUGCAAUGUCUAGCACUAUAUGAGGACGGCAUUUAUUUGAAGUUCUAAUUCUAAUAUGCUGGGGCACUUUGUUUGCAGAUGACACCUGUAGGUUUGUGUUUUCUAACAAACCUGGCAGCAGCAAAAGAAACCAUUUGGGGUCUUUGCACUUGAAGUUUGCUAGAUAUAUCUUCAGCCUCUGCCAUGCACUGCCUCAAAGUCACUGCAAGCACUACAGACAGUGAAUGUGAAUAUAAUAUGCGGUGAUGUAAAUAUAUUCUUUGCAACUCUAAAUGUUCUCUGUAACCUGUUUAGCCGAGGUGCAAUAAAGAAUAAAUAGCUAUUCUGAUCUUCA